UAUGCUGUCCUGUUUUACCACACUCACAGGAUUGGAUUAUCUUGUCUCAUAGGCCUGGUUCACUCUAGAGAGACUUAAUAAGUCCUGGUGUGCAUUGCGGGGGUUCGCAGCACAAUUAAACUGGUAGUCACCAGCUUUCUCAGGUUCAGAUGAAAGCAAUAAUUUUGGUUUUGUCAGGCAUGCAGGGUGUGUUUUCAUAGUAAGCACUUCUGGUUUCUCCUUCAGGAUCUCUAUCAUGAAAAAUAAUUGUAUGGUUUGUCUUGGCCAUACCCCUUUCUUCUGGAAAAAGCAGUAUCUGAACAUCUCCAUUGAGAGCACAGAGCACUUCUCAGUUUUGGCUGAAUGUGGUGCUGGAAAUUGAACCUGAAACCUUGGAACCUCAGGCAUGAAGGUCUUUUGCAUAACAAGUAUACUAUUUUCCCAGCAAAUCAGGCAGAUGACCUUACCGAUGCUUCCUGGAACCUCAUCUCUGCAGAUCCCUGCCCCACUAGAGAAAGAUAGAAACAGGCUGGAGG